GAUGAACGCUAGCGGCAGGCUUAACACAUGCAAGUCGAGGGGUAGAGGCUUUCGGGCCUUGAGACCGGCGCACGGGUGCGCAACGCGUAUGCAAUCUGCCUUGUACUGGGGGAUAGCCCAGAGAAAUUUGGAUUAAUACCCCAUAGUAUUUUCGGUUGGCAUCAACUGAUUAUUAAAGUUUUUCGGUACAAGAUGGGCAUGCGUCCCAUUAGCUAGUUGGUAUGGUAACGGCAUACCAAGGCUACGAUGGGUAGGGGUCCUGAGAGGGAGAUCCCCCACACUGGUACUGAGACACGGACCAGACUCCUACGGGAGGCAGCAGUGAGGAAUAUUGGUCAAUGGUCGCAAGACUGAACCAGCCAUGCCGCGUGCAGGAUGAAGCAUCUAUGGUGUGUAAACUGCUUUUGUACGGGAAGAAACACUGCUACGUGUAGCAGCUUGACGGUACCGUAAGAAUAAGGAUCGGCUAACUCCGUGCCAGCAGCCGCGGUAACAC
rnacentral:rRNA from 1 species